UACAGAGGGUGCGAGCGUUAAUCGGAAUUACUGGGCGUAAAGCGCGCGUUAGACGGUUUUGUAAGUCAGAUGUGAAAUCCCUGGGCUCAACCUGGGAACUGCAUUUGAGACUGCAUGGCUAGAGUAUCGAAGAGGGAAGUGGAAUUUCCGGUGUAGCGGUGAAAUGCGUAGAUAUCGGAAGGAACACCAGUGGCGAAAGCGACUUCCUGGUCGAAUACUGACGUUCAUGUGCGAAAGCGUGGGGAGCAAACAGG
rnacentral:rRNA from 1 species